rnacentral:rRNA from 1 species
UGGUUAAAAAGCUCGUAGUUGGAUCUCGGCGGACUGAGGGCGGUUUGCUUGCUAGUAUUACUGCCCUAUAGUCCGUAGUUUUGCCAGAGGUUUCGGGGUGCUCUUAAUCGAGUGUCCCGGGAUGCUGGCAGGUUUACUUUGAAAAAAUUAGAGUGCUCAAAGCAGGCUAUUACGCCUGAAUAUUCGUGCAUGGAAUAAUAGAAUAGGAAGUCGUUUCUAUUUUGUUGGUUUUCGGAAAUCGACUUAAUGAUUAAUAGGGACAGUCGGGGGCAUUUGUAUUCAAACGACAGAGGUGAAAUUCUUGGACCGUUUGAAGACAAACUACUGCGAAAGCAUUUGCCAAGAAUGUUUUCAUUAAUCAAGAACGAAAGUUAAAGGUUCGAAGGCGAUUAGAUACCGCCCUAGUUUUAACCAUAAACGAUGCCAGCUAGCGAUCUGCGGACGUUUUUUUUGUAGACUCCGCAGGAAGCUUCCGGGAAACCAAAGCAUUUGGGUUCCAGGGGAAGUAUGGUUGCAAAGCUGAAACUUAAAGGAAUUGACGGAAGGGCACCACCAGGAGUGGAGCCUGUGGCUUAAUUUGACUCAACACGGGAAAUCUCACCAGGCCCGGGACACUG